AUCUCAGAAGCCAAGCGUAAC
rnacentral:snRNA from 1 species